rnacentral:rRNA from 1 species
AUGGGAACGCGAAGAACCUUACCAGGUCUUGACAUCCUUUGAAGCUUUUAGAGAUAGAAGUGUUCUCUUCGGAGACAAAGUGACAGGUGGUGCAUGGUCGUCGUCAGCUCGUGUCGUGAGAUGUUGGGUUAAGUCCCGCAACGAGCGCAACCCUUAUUGUUAGUUGCCAGCAUUCAGAUGGGCACUCUAGCGAGACUGCCGGUGACAAACCGGAGGAAGGCGGGGACGACGUCAGAUCAUCAUGCCCCUUAUGACCUGGGCUACACACGUGCUACAAUGGCGUAUACAACGAGUUGCCAACCCGCGAGGGUGAGCUAAUCUCUUAAAGUACGUCUCAGUUCGGAUUGUAGUCUGCAACUCGACUACAUGAAGUCGGAAUCGCUAGUAAUCGCGGAUCAGCACGCCGCGGUGAAUACGUUCC